AGAGUUUGAUCCUGGCUCAGGAUGAACGCUAGCGGCAGGCCUAAUACAUGCAAGUCGAGGGGUAGAGAGGAGCUUGCUCUUCUUGAGACCGGCGCACGGGUGCGUAACGCGUAUGCAACCUACCUUUAUCAGGGGGAUAGCCUCUCGAAAGAGAGAUUAACACCGCAUAACAUUACGGAGUGGCAUCACUCUGUAAUCAA
rnacentral:rRNA from 1 species